UCUGAAGGCAACAAUUGGAAUACCAAGGUUCAUCAUGGCAAUGCUGAGAAGUCUGCUGCUUCUUUUUAUUGUAUUCUCCAUGGGGAAUGCAGAUGCUGAGAUAGCUGAAAAAUGCCCCAAUGGAUGGACAAUUUUUGGAGUCCGAUGCUUCAAGUACUUCUCUCAGUCGGUUAACUGGAUCACAGCAGAGAGAAAUUGCUAAGG